AAGUCGUAACAAGGUUUCCGUAGGUGAACCUGCGGAAGGAUCAUUAUCCUAUAGCUUAGUAUGCAAAUACUAAAAGCGCAUGCACCAAUGUGUUGCGUAAAAAUGCACAGCGGCCCGUGCCUCGCCACGACCGCUCUUCAAAUCCAGGCCUGCUCGGGUCUGGUCGGGUACCUAGGUACGCAAGUACACCAAGCGGCCGACCCUAGUGUCGACUGUGUGGCGUAAAGAUCAUUGAGCUGCCCUAUGCCCAAUGACGCCCGCUUAGCAAAAAAAUUUUAUACCAAUUAAUCACACUUAUUAUGUUGUAUGUGUAACGCACUAUCCAAGUACUAUUACUGGGAUAUUAACACAAAUACAACCCUAUGCGGUGGAUCAUUUGGCUC
rnacentral:misc_RNA from 1 species